ACAGAGGGUGCGAGCGUUGUUCGGAAUUACUGGGCGUAAAGCGCGCGCAGGCGGCUCUCUAAGUCUACGGGUGAAAGACCGGGGCUCAACCCCGUGUCAGCCCGGGAUACUGGGGAGCUAGGGACAUGUAGGGGCGAGCGGAAUUCCGGGUGUAGCGGUGGAAUGCGUAGAUAUCAGGAGGAACACCGGUGGCGAAGGCGGCUAUCUGGACAGAAACUGACGCUGAGGCGCGAAAGCUAGGGGAGCAAACAGGA
rnacentral:rRNA from 1 species